UAAUGAUAACAAUGAUGAUGAUGAUAAUAACGACGAUGAUGAUGAUGAUGGCGGGUUAUUUGAAAUGGUGAAAGUAAAAUGAAAUAGAUGUAACCGUAUAGAUGAUUAUUGUCAUCAUCAUCAUCGUCGUCAUCAUCAUCAUCAUCAUCAUCA
rnacentral:pre_miRNA from 1 species